UUUUGAUUUACAUUCAUUUUGCUUCUAGCAUAGUUUCUAACCUGUUUCAAAAGUGUUUCUGAAAAGUGUGGCAAGCAUGUUUGUUACUAUUUUUAUUCCAAAUAAUUUCAAAAGAUGGAGCGGCUGUCAUGUAUUGGGAACGGUACACCAUGGCUGCGCUUGUACGAUGGUUUGAAAUGGUUUGAUGUUGAAGGAGGGAAUAGGAAGCGUCUUUAAGGUGGUGCCAUCCGCUCGGAAUGAUGAAAAGCGAAAGCCGAUUCCAGAUGAAAGCGCACGUCCCAGUCUUCCAGUUCCCUUUUGUGAGGUGAGCGCAUAUUGAUUCGUUUCGCCCACUUGAAGGCGGCAAAAUAGGAAAUGAUGAGAGAAGAGCGAAUAAAAAAUAUAAAAAAAGACACGCGAAUACUUCACCAUUCUGCUCACCGAGUGCACGUUUCCAAUCAAAAUGUGUCACGCUCUUGACUUUUUAGCCUGCCAUGUUCGCGGUUCGGAAAAGAGUUUGCCAAACCAGCCCUCCUUGCCCCUUCAUUCGUCCCCGCCAGUUGGCUAAGUGACACAGGAAAUUGUAACGCAGAGGGAGCCGAAGUGGAAAUGAAAUUUCCAACAACCGACACUCGUUACCCGAUUCAAGGUGCGCUUUUCGUACUUGAGAUGGGUACUUUUGUGCAGAAAGAAUCGUCGGGCAACGCAAGCAACGUGUGUGCGGGAAGUGGUUUCACAAGAAAAAUUGAAGCACAUCGAGAAAGCGAGCGAGAAAGAGAGAGGGAAAGAGAGAGAUAGCAUGAUCGAAAGGCAAGUAUGCAGGAAAGUACGGGACCAGCCAAACUACCGAACCGAACCAAUCAAACACUCGAAGGGAAAAUUCAUCAUUUUGCACGCAACCACGUGAGUGGGGGAAAAGGAUCAGGCGUAAUGGGGCUGAAGGUGCACACAUUGAUGACAAAUGGAAUGUAAACUCUGGGUGUGUGGAAAGUUUGUUCGCCUUUCCGUGUACGGGCUCGUGCGGAGUAGGGCAAUUGAAUAACACUAACGAACAAAUCAAUCAAUGUCGGCCGCACGUUCGCGAGCACGUCAUCAUUUUUGCCGCGAGUGCUAUCUGGUGCGAAUGGUUACGUGGUUUACAUCUGUUUUCUCGCUUUCCUUCGUCUGUCGUGGUAGUUUUCGUAAGCAUCCUGUUUACCUUAGGGUUAUUACAGCUGGCGAGUUAAAUUGUAGCACUCGAGGAAGUAGUAACGUUGGAGAAAUAAGAAUGGAAAAACGUAUCUCAUUCUCGAGAUAACAUAUUCCUCAUACUUUGUUAGACCAUUAUGUUCAAUAUGGUUGCAAUUAUUGUUUGAAAAAAAGUAUUUGAAUAGACAUCUACCAUCACAUACCUUUAAACUCAACGAAUCAUUAGGAUAUCUUUUUUUCGUGAUUUCCCACAAGAAAGAGUGAAGAAAGUGUUCCAAAAUUAUGUGAGUCCUUGAAAAUCACCAUAAAGGUUGAUUAAUUAGCGCUACAGCUAAAACUACAUAUAAUUCACUUAAUGAUAUUACAAUGAGCGUUAAUGUACGUGAUGGUGGAUUCUACAGGCUUUGCAAUGCAAUUAAAAGAUAAUCUGUUCACAAAAAUAGGACAGAGAAAACUGUAUAACAAUAUUCAUUCGACAAGACCAGUUUGAGGAUCGCGUUGUCUAAAAUAACCCGGAAAAUACUUAGCAAAACGUCUGCUCACAAACCAAAAUAGUUGGAAGCUUACAUUCGCUUCACUUCAGUCGUUGAAACAACAACUGAUUCCAUAUAAGCUACACCAAUCAGCCAUGACACCGUAAAGAGGGGAAUACAACACUUCCGGGAAAGAUUACUGCUCACAUAUGUUCACCUGCUUAAGCUCACUGUGCAGUGCGAUGGCAAUGGAAAGGUUUCACGAAAUCUAUAAUUAGAUAGCAAAUUGAGCAAAUUGAGACGAAGGAAAAAAGGAUCAACAUUAUCCGUACGAUGAGUAAGUUUCGAUGAGACGAAGGGAAUCGAUCGUGUACCACUGCCGCUCGGUUAACGAGGGAACAGCAGGAAAUGGGUUAUGGCUUCGGCGAAAGGAUUCAGUCAGCGAGAGCAACUAAGGAUAAAUCCUGCCACCCGUCUUGCUCCUGCCUGGUAAACAAGUAGGGAUGUAUUAAUUAUGCAAACAAACGGAUGAAUAAUGUGUUAACACAACGGCACGGCAAACCAUCCUACCAAUAAGGACGGGCACGUGUUUCGGAAGGGUGCGUUGGCCGUGUGUGCCGUUGCUUGCUAGACAUUGGAAACAUUUCAAAUCAAAAGACCCAACGCACAGCUGCACGCAGAUGAUUCGUUAUUCAUUUAUCGAUCAUCAGAAAACGAAAUGAUGUGAUGCGCUGGCAGGCCAUUCGUUAGCUCUCAGGCCUAACUCAGGCAACAGGAAAGACAUCGGCACACACGUCCACCAAAAUGUUGUGUCUUGCUUUCUGGCAGCCGAAGCACGUCCGGGUGGAAAGAAACGAACCAGCCAGCCAGCCGUAAGUGGGAACAAUUUUCAUCAGCAAUAUUUACGUACUUCCGGGCAUGCUUUGAGCCACCCUUUCGUACAGGGGCGUAUCCGUACAGGGGCUCUCAACUAACGAUAGCACGCACACGCACACAUUCACACCCGUACAGCUUAUCAACGCGUCCUCAUCACAACCUUUUUCGUCACCAAGCACAGCUCGGGCUAGCACAGUUCGGGGAACGGCAAUGGAUGCCAAGUUAAGCAAAAAAUCUCCUUUUCGGCAGAUUUUUAAGGGACAGACGAUAAAACCGACAACAGACCGGAUCUAUUUGGGAAAUGGAAUAAAAUGGACCCACAGCUCCCAUCAUUCGCAACGGGACGGGCUUCGUUUGGCUUUGGAAUUAUCGCGUUCGUUAGCUUUUAGCAGGCAAAGCGAAUAAAAGCAAAGGUCGAGGAGAGCAUUGGCAGAUCGGUAUAAAUGAAGGCAUUGCAUUGACCUCCGUCUUUAGGUUCAGGAAUAAUGGAAAAGAAUAUUACGGAAUCGAAGAAAUAGCGAGUAUAUAGGUGGUUGAAUUUUGUGUAAGAGUUUUCAUCGUAUUAAAAAACCAGUUAUUUUUAAAAUAUGUUUAAAUUAAAAAGAACCUUUUUUCGUGUGAAAAUAUUAACAGUACAAAAGG